AUAGAAUGCAAUCGUGCAUAAUCAUAUGUUCGAUUUUCUGUCUGCUAUCGCAUUUGACAGUUUCGCCAAUACCACUUCAUGAUAUCGCAUUUGUAGAAAAUUGGAAUGACACAAGAAGAUCUUUCACAAUGCCUAUCAAGUCUAUAAGAGCUUUGAGAGCAGGCGGUGGCCAAAAUCCGAGGCUAGUCAAUUUCAAACACUUUCCAACGCUUUACGCAAAUUAAAUAAUCCAAUCAA